rnacentral:rRNA from 1 species
UACGGGGGGGCAAGCGUUGUUCGGAAUUACUGGGCGUAAAGGGCUCGUAGGUGGCCAACUAAGUCAGACGUGAAAUCCCUCAGCUUAACUGGGGAACUGCGUCUGAUACUGGAUGGCUUGAGUUUGGGAGAGGGAUGCGGAAUUCCAGGUGUAGCGGUGAAAUGCGUAGAUAUCGUAAGGAAGACCAGUGGCGAAGGCGAGUCUCUGGACAGUUACUGACGCUGAGGCACGAAGGCCAGGGGAGCAAACGGG